rnacentral:lncRNA from 1 species
GUGUUCUCCCCGUUUUGUCCUCCGGAGGCCGCUAUAUAUAGCCCCUCCACCCCGUCCCAUUGCUCCACACAGACACAUACGCCUCACACUCUCUGAUCAGAUCAGCCACAGAGUCACAGUAGCACUAGCUUGAGCUAGCCACCUUCUGCCACUCCGGGCAUUUUCUUGCAUCCACGAAGGCAAUGGCCACUGCUGAUGUACGUAUAGCUUGUCUCGAUCGUCUUCCUAUAGUUCUAUUCUCUUUUCGUAUGCUUGGAUCGAUGAUCGUUUCGAUGGGUUCUUCAUCUUUUGAUCUGCUCACUGUUUACCCGAUCCAACGAACGGCCGGUCGAUCAUGAUCAUGAUCAUGACCGAGCUCGAGCUAGAUCGGUUUGUGUAUGUGUUUGACAUGUGCGUGGCGCUAAUGAUAUUAAGUGUGCAAACGUGCAGGUCCAGAACCCGGCGGUCGCGCUGACGGAGGAGGCGCCCGCGGUGGAGACACCCCUGGUCGCCGAGGAGGUCGCGAAGACGGAGGAGGCCCCCACGCCGGCGGUGGCCGAAGUCGAAGCGCCUGCUGCCCCCGUCGAGGUUGAGGAGACUAAGGAGGAGGCGCCGGCCGCCGCUGAGACGGAGGAGACCAAGGAGCCCGAGCCCGCAGCUGCGGCCGAGCCGGAGGCCGAGGCGCCAGCCGUGGUCGAGACAGAGACCAAGGAGGCCGUGGCUGAGGCAGAGCCGGCGGUGGUCGAGGAGGUGAAGGAGGAGGCGGCGCCUGCUGCCGAGCCGGAGGUUGCGGCCGUCGCCGAGGAAGCACCGGCUGCUGCGGAGGAGGCACCCGCGGCCGCGGCAGAGGAGCCGGCCGCCGCGGUGGCCAGCGUCAGCGUGUGAGGCGCCGGCGCGCGCGGACGAGGAGCUGGCUGUGUCAGCGUCCACGGCGGCAGCCGUGUGCUCCUACGUGGCACGGCGUGAUGCUCAGUCAGCCAGUGGAGUGGACUGGAGUGGAGUGCUACUUUUUACUACUAGGUGUGGGGUGCUUUGCGCGGGGUCCGCGUGACGUGGGCUAAAUAAAAGUGUUGUCGGGUCGACGCCCAGUCCCAAGUGUCGGUCAGCAGAGAGCGAGAGACGCAGUGCCAGUGUGCCACUCUAGAUAAUGUAUGCUUCUUUUCUCGACAAGACAUGCUUCAUUAUUUCUACGGACAUCUGUUUUCUCUCUGCAUGGCAAACAUAAACCUUGUUUAUCCUAAUUUAGAUUUCUAAACAUGCGUCGUCAGAAGUGUCACCCCUUGGUAUGAGCUACACACGCAUGCAUGCCCGGUCUCUUGCGAAAUAAAAUGCGUGCUUCAUCGGUCAAUUUUUUUGGGGAUGACAGUGAGCUCAUCAGAGAAAGAGCGGUUGCUAUAGAGUGGCUAUUUUGAGCACCGAGUAUCUACGGGACCAUAGAUCGUGGUUUCAUUGAUUGUCUCCGCGCGCUUCUUUGGAUAUGUGAUCUGAGUAGGCCCCGACCUUUUCGCACUAACCAUCACCCGGGUAUAAGUAUGGGCACUCGGCGUCGUACGAUUCUUUCAAAAGCUCUCAGACGUCAGCAGUUUAGCAUCGCGCGCCGGGUUGGACGGGAACCACCUGCACUUGUAUAAGGGGAUGGGUGUGCUCCAGGACGCGUUCGGGAUUGCAAAGGACGAUUGGCCCAUGACACAUUCGCAUUUAGGAUGUAGACCGGUGUGCUGGUCUCUCUGUUUAGCCUAGGUAGGACUACGGUGUGUCGAUGAGCCGAGGUCGGGCAUGACCCAGAAACGUGUGUUCGUCCGGAGUUAAUCGAGCGUGUUGGGUAAGAUUUUUGCACCCCUGCAGGAAAGUUUAUCUAUUCAAAUAGCCGUGUCCACGACAACGGACGCUCGGAGUUGUAUCCCGAUCUAUUACAACUAGAACUGGAUACUAGAAACACUAAAUUGAUAUAAUGGCUCCGGGAUUGAUUUCUCGCAGGGAGUCGAGGAAGAAUCUCUGAGCGUUACUACAAUAUACUUGUUACUUCAUAAUAUGCUAAUCCACCUCUUCUAAUGUUGUAAGAUGCUUCAAAAUGCUAGUCUUCGAUAUGCUAGGUCUUCCCUUCUAUUCUGGCAUUUCUGCAGUUCAGUCCAAAGAUAUAGCUCCAUUCCUUUGAUACUGAUGCAUACUUUGUAUAUAUCUGAUGUAAGUCUUGCGAGUACUUAGGGUGAGUACUCAUGGUUGCUUUGCUACCUCUUUCUCCUAUAGCCGAUUGUUGCGAUCAUAUGACGGAGGCCAGGAGCCAGCUGAUCUUCAGCGACUAAUACUACCUCGACGGAGCUUACUACUACGUGAAGGCUGUUGACGACCAGGAGUAGUUAGGAGGCUCCCACGCAGGAGGCCUAUGCUUAUUCGAUCCAUGUUGUUGUUGUUGUUGUUGUUUUUGUUAUCCUUCUUAAGGCAAACUUGUUUACUUAUGUUUGUACUCACAUAUUGUUGUUUCCGCUGACUCUUAUGUAUUCGAGCCCUCGAGGCCCCUGGCUUGUAAUAUAAAGCAUGUGUGACUUUAAUUUGUGUCUAGAAUUCUGUUGUGAUAUCUUCCCGUGAGUCUCUGAUCUUGAUCGUGCACAUUUGCGUGUAUGAUUAGUGCACGAUUAAGUUGGGGCGUCACACUAGCGCCGCCUGUGCGGAGCAGCGGCCGGAGGUAGAGGAGGUCGUCGGACCGGAGAAGCAGAUCGGGCAUGCCUCGCAGAUCUGCGCGCGGGGUGGGAAGGGCCGGCGCCGGCGUCGGCGCUGCGGUGACGGGCGAUAGGUCGCGUCGCACCGGGCCCGGAGCUGCCGCCCAUAUCGGCCCACGAGCGCUCGAGCGUGAUACUGAGCGCCAGCUCCUUCUUGUCUCCGGGGCUGCCGUCGGAGUGGCUGCCGGUGCUGGAAAUGCUUGCCGGUGCUAGGGAUUUGGCGGAUUGGGGAAAUGGGAGCAUCGGGGAGGGAAGGGGAGCGGAGUGAGUUAGGGUUUCUGCCGUACGGGGAUUUUUUUGGGGUCAGGGUGGGCCAGCGGUGGGCCGGGCUGACGUAACGGACAUGCCUGGACCACCUCAUGUCUGCCCUAUAUUUGGGAUGGAUAUGAGGGGCGCCGGUCAGUCCGGACGUUUGAGGCCCGUUUGAGAGCUUCGGUUGGGUCGGUUUUUGGUGACUGGUCAGUGACCGGAUGGCCUGCCCAGACAGAUGAGACAGAUACAUGACGCCCGGUUGUAGAUGCUGUGAAGGUGCUCCUUUUGCCAAUGCCACAAAUUGCUCUCUCCGAAUGCAUGCUUUUCAACAUGGUUUUAUUUCUGCCGAGCUGAUAGAGUUUUUUUUAUGUACCCCUAUGUAAACCAAUAUAAGAUUUUCUUUUAGAUCACUAAAGUGAGAGCAAAUAUUAUUAGGAGGAUGAUAACCACCACGUAGAGUACGUACGUGGUACAAAAUGCACAACUCAUAUCUCAUUUAUCCUCGAGCACAGACGACAACAAAUGCACCUGGACUAAGCUCAAUCUUUUGGAGACCAUCCGCAUUUUACUUUUAGCAAAUUGGAGACCAUCCACAUGCAUGUAGUAGCCGCAUUUGUUAGAAAUAAUGGGCUCGACCUGUGAAUAAUUUCUGAAAUCUCAAAUUGGCCCAUGUGUACAUUAAAUUGGCAUGCGAUGGUUCUAAACAGUAUUAACAAAUCGAAAGUUGAGUAGAUGUGCGAACUCGCUAUACAGUGGGUUCUCUCCAUCACAUUAAGUCAUGUGCUGAGGAGAGAAAGCAAAGACCCCACACGGGCGCUCGCCUCGACUUGUCUCGUCGGUCUUGGGUCUGGAAUCGGACCGGGGCGGCAUAGCCGUGCGACAUGCGUGUGAAUCGUUCGUUUCGCGCUUGCCUCGCCGGGCUCAACCCAGGGCCGAAGUGGCGUGGGCGUGCAACAUGUACGUGGAUGUAUCGCCAAAAUCCGGUCCAUGGAGUAGGUCUCUAAAACUCGACGGCCGCGUUGCCAGAGGAGGCGCCCGCGGUGGAGACGUCGGUCGCCACCGAGGAGGUCGCGAAGACGGAGGAGGCCCCCGCGCCGGCGGAGGCCGAAGUCGAGGCGCCUGCUGCCCCCGUCGAGGUUGAGGAGACCAAGGAGAAGGUGUCGGCAGCCGCUGAGACGGAGGAGGCCAAGGA